UCGGGUGUGUGUGGAGGGGACCCUGUGGUUAGCAGCAGCUAUCGCAGCGUCGGAUGUUCAGAGCAGCAGAAGCCGGCGUCGUCGGAUGUUGUGUUGCCCGCCACCAUGAGCUACACAGGCUUUGUCCAGGGAUCUGAAACCACUUUGCAGUCGACAUACUCGGAUACCAGCGCUCAGCCCACCUGUGAUUAUGGAUAUGGAACUUGGAACUCUGGGACAAACAGAGGCUACGAGGGCUAUGGCUAUGGCUAUGGCUAUGGCCAGGAUAACACCACCAACUAUGGGUAUGGUAUGGCCACUUCACACUCUUGGGAAAUGCCUAGCUCUGACACAAAUGCAAACACUAGUGCCUCGGGUAGCGCCAGUGCCGAUUCCGUUUUAUCCAGAAUUAACCAGCGCUUAGAUAUGGUGCCGCAUUUGGAGACAGACAUGAUGCAAGGAGGCGUGUACGGCUCAGGUGGAGAAAGGUAUGACUCUUAUGAGUCCUGCGACUCGAGGGCCGUCCUGAGUGAGCGCGACCUGUACCGGUCAGGCUAUGACUACAGCGAGCUUGACCCUGAGAUGGAAAUGGCCUAUGAGGGCCAAUACGAUGCCUACCGCGACCAGUUCCGCAUGCGUGGCAACGACACCUUCGGUCCCAGGGCACAGGGCUGGGCCCGGGAUGCCCGGAGCGGCCGGCCAAUGGCCUCAGGCUAUGGGCGCAUGUGGGAAGACCCCAUGGGGGCCCGGGGCCAGUGCAUGUCUGGUGCCUCUCGGCUGCCCUCCCUCUUCUCCCAGAACAUCAUCCCCGAGUACGGCAUGUUCCAGGGCAUGCGAGGCGGGGGCGCCUUCCCGGGCGGCUCCCGCUUUGGUUUCGGGUUUGGCAAUGGCAUGAAGCAGAUGAGGCGGACCUGGAAGACCUGGACCACAGCCGACUUCCGAACCAAGAAGAAGAAGAGAAAGCAGGGCGGCAGUCCUGACGAGCCAGAUAGCAAAGCCACCCGCACGGACUGCUCGGACAACAGCGACUCAGACAAUGAUGAGGGCACCGAGGGGGAAGCCACAGAGGGCCUUGAAGGCACCGAGGCUGUGGAGAAGGGCUCCAGAGUGGACGGAGAGGACGAGGAGGGAAAAGAGGAUGGGAGAGAAGAAGGCAAAGAGGAUCCAGAGAAGGGGGCCCUAACCACCCAGGAUGAAAAUGGCCAGACCAAGCGCAAGUUGCAGGCAGGCAAGAAGAGUCAGGACAAGCAGAAAAAGCGGCAGCGAGACCGCAUGGUGGAAAGGAUCCAGUUUGUGUGUUCUCUGUGCAAAUACCGGACCUUCUAUGAGGACGAGAUGGCCAGCCAUCUUGACAGCAAGUUCCACAAGGAACACUUUAAGUACGUAGGCACCAAGCUCCCUAAGCAGACGGCUGACUUUCUGCAGGAGUACGUCACUAACAAGACCAAGAAGACAGAGGAGCUCCGAAAAACUGUGGAGGACCUUGAUGGCCUCAUCCAGCAAAUCUACAGAGACCAGGAUCUGACCCAGGAAAUUGCCAUGGAGCAUUUUGUGAAGAAGGUGGAGGCAGCCCAUUGUGCAGCCUGCGACCUCUUCAUUCCCAUGCAGUUUGGGAUCAUCCAGAAGCAUCUGAAGACCAUGGAUCACAACCGGAACCGCAGGCAAAAAUACCCAACAGUGACAACAUCCAGUGCUGAUGGGCAGGCAGGAGGACCAGGUCAUUGUUUUAACACAGGUGGAAGAAGCAUGACUUGCAAAUGUUCUGCAGUUAAUUGGGCACUAUCACUUUGAAACCAAACCUGGUUAGAAUGAAAAGCACCAGCAUGGAAGUGUACAAGUUUAUUCUGGUGUUGCUGGGUUAUUGUGGAGAAGAUCUGGAAGCAACAUAAAUGUGCCUCACUUGGGAGAAUUUAUGGUGUGGUUAUCUGGGCAUCUAGAACCAGGAGGAUAAACUGUUGGCAAGUGAGAGUCACUGGGGGAACGGUCUAUAGUAGUAUCCUAAUUGUGUAUCUUUAGUUUAUUGUGAGCAUGUAUGAUGUCUGUUAAUAUUUUCCUCCAGUAGUAGAGAAAACGUGCUAAGGAAAAAAAAAAUGAAGAUGGAGAGAGUAGAAACAGCAAGUGAGAAGGCUUUCUGAAACAUGUAAAUGGAGUGGGAAGGACUCAAUGGGCUCUCCCACCCCACCAAAAAUAUCCUUCUUUUACCUUAUGGUUUUUAUGAUGAUCAAAGUGAGAUUUGCCUGUACUCCCACCAUGAGGAGAUGGCCCAGCAUAUUGAUGGAAAUCCUUCCAGACAAAAUGGCUCUGGCAUGCUCUGCAGACAGUACUAUAUUAUACACCUUUCUUAUGCCAGUGCAGAGAUGAGCCCGAUUUGAAGGGCUGCAUGAUGUUCUUUUGAAUGUACGAUUUAUUUAACCUCUUCUGCACUGAGGAACGUUUAGGUGUUUUCCCAUUUUUCACCACUACAAUCAGUGUGCACGCAUGUUUCCAGUUCUUAAAUUUAGGAUACGUUCUGGGAAGGGAUUAAUGAGACAGAUUUUUACUUUUCAUACAUUGUGUCAAACUGCUUUCCAAAAAAUACGGAAACAGUUGAUCCUCCCACCAGCAGAGAAGACUCUCUUCACCCUUGCAUGACUGGGAAUAAUUCUUCAUUCUUGGAAUUCUGUGGGUUAAAAAAGACGUUUCAUUAAAUAUCUGUUCCUGUUUUUAUAUCUUCCCCGUUGGCCCCAAAGUGCUCCUUGCCUAUUAGCCUAGUUGGCACCUUGUUACAGGUUGCACCUUUGGCUCUUAGUUUCUUAAUUGUUCACUGCUUAUAGCUUUUUUGUAAGCAAAUCAGAUUUCUGUAAUACAGCCGUAAAGAUAGAGAUAUAUAGAUCUGUAUUUUUAUUUACCUACAGUAAGUGUGGUGUGGAAGGAGAGGGAAUUUGAACAAAGAUCAGAUAGGUUGUGGUUCCAUGCUUGUGGAGUGGCCCUCUGUUGGUGGGGCUGGAAGUGCGUGGGUGCGGGGGCGGGGUGGGGUCCCUCUAAGCUGGCAGGGUUGGGGCAGGAACUUGUAGGGCACUCAGAGCAGCCUCUCCAGCUCCUUUUGCCCUGCCCGCAGCUCAUGAUGGAGCAGUCCAAGAAGUCCUCCCUCAUGGUGGCCCGCAGUAUUCUCAACAACAAGCUCAUCAGCAAGAAGCUGGAGCGCUACCUGAAGGGCGAGAACCCUUUCACCGACAGCCCCGAGGAGGAGAAGGAGCAGGAGGAGGCUGAGGGCGGUGCCCUGGACGAGGGGGCGCCGGGCGAAGCGGCAGGGAUCUCGGAGGGCGCAGAGGGCGUGCCGGCGCAGCCUCCCGUGCCCCCAGAGCCAGCCCCCGGGGCCGUGUCGCCGCCACCGCCGCCGCCCCCAGAGGAGGAGGAGGAGGGCGCCGUGCCCUUGCUGGGAGGGGCGCUGCAACGCCAGAUCCGCGGCAUCCCGGGCCUCGACGUGGAGGACGACGAGGAGGGCGGCGGGGGCGCCCCGUGACCCGAGCUCGGGGCGGGCGGGGCCCGCGUGGCCGAAGCUGGAAACCAAACCUAAUAAAGUUUUCCCAUCCUA